rnacentral:lncRNA from 1 species
AAUCCACCAAGGCCACUAGCUUGUGAGUGAAUGUGGUCCCUUCAGCAAAUUCGUGUGCACUGUUUACUGGGAAAUAAUUAUGGUUUUCGGCACUGGCAAAUGGAGUCCUAUUUCUAAUGGGAGACAGUGGUUGGCAAACAUGAAACCCUGAGUUUCCCUCUGAGUCUGAGCUGUGAACUGAAGUCGAUGACAUUGACAAGUCUACUGGAAUAUCAUCUCUCAGAGCAGAAUGCAUGAAUGAUGCAGGAGGGUUAUAGGAUGAAUUCACUGAUGAUCUUGGAGAUAUUGGUCUGCCAGAAAUAAAGUAGUCAAGAGAAUUUUGAGAACUGUUUAAAUAGUCUUUCCAGUAUCCUUCAGAAUCAUGGGUGCCAGGCCUAUGUUCCACAGAAAUACAAUCACUCCAUACAUUUUCAGCAUUGACACCAACCUCUUGUCUGGGCUCGGAUUUGGUGUCCCACGAAAGAGGGCUCUUUUUCGCAUUUUCACUGCCACCUCUGUCCUUCUCUGUAGCAGAUUCCCUAUCAGGCAGCCCGGGGUCUUGGGACAACCUUUGCCCAGCAGAAGGCCGCUCUGUUGCUGGCUCCAUUGCAUUGCUUAUUCUCAAUGAGCCAUGACUGGGCUCACUUCUUCUUGAAGAAUGACCUCUGCAAUUUUCAGCAUUUUCUUCAAAAUUUUUAUUUUUGGCCUGAGGGGUCGAUGUCCCCCCAAAUCUACUUCUUUUGUGAUGGGAAGGAGAACAGGGUGAGCGCACACCAACCCACAGACAUUCUUCAGACUGGGUUUCCUCUUCAGUGUCAUCGCUUUCUCUUCUGCUGUUCAAUGACAAAAUGGAAUAAAAGUCUUCAUCUCGGAACCUAAAUGAUGCCUUUCUUGGCCCUCCUACAGUGGUGGGUGUGAGUGGUGGCCCCGAGAACUCACUCAAUACUUGAGGACUAUUUUUUCCUUGGAAGGCCUGGGACAGGGCUGGAUGCAGCUCACUCUGGGAAGGAGCACUCGGGUCUCCUUUUUUGGCUCUAUCAGGGGCGUUCUCAGUCAUUGGCUGUGACGAUGGGACCAAGUUUCUUCUCUCUUGAUUUGGCCUCUUCAGCUUAGUGUUACACAUCAGGCCUUCUUGUUGAACUACUUGAUCUGCAUUGAGAAAAGACACAUUUAUCGUUCCAGUAAAAGGGCCCAUGGAUGAAAGGCCUCUAGCACCAAGUGCAAAAUUGCCCUUUAAAUGCAACAGACAAGACCUAGAGAAGAAAACAGACACGGUCAAAAUGGCUGGAGGUACAAGAGGAGCAGAGCCCAGCAGGCUUCAUUUUACUGCCCCGUAUUCUCCUUUGUACCCCUGUGGUCCUAGGGAAAUGGGGGGACCCUGAGGAUACAGAUUCUUUCUGCAGAAGCUCCCGGAAGACUGGCCCAGCCCCAGCCAGUCAGGACUGAUGAUGCGCAAACCUCACACUAAAUACUGGCUUUUGUUCCAUACGUACUGAAAGGGAAAACCACCACUCUGGGAAUGACUUCUACAAAAACCACCAGCCCUUUCUCAUCCACGUUCAUUCAAUGUACAUUUAUGACACCCUGCCUCCCACGCAGCUUUACAAGAACUUAAGAGAAGUAUAACAUGUCUUGGCAGAUCAGGAGGAAGGCUAUAGGAGCUGGCGCCCGGGGAACACUGGGGAUUUUGGUCAUGUUUACUAUUUAGUGAAAAUAAAAAUUAUAAAUCGCUCAUGAAAUCGUUAUCUUCUCUUUGUCACUAGCCCCAGGUCAAUUCUGUAACUUCUGGCUGCCCUAGAAUCCCUACUAUGAAUUCCUACACAGAAUCACUGAACUGGCCAGAAGCAUGCUAACUGUCUCUCUCUGUCUCUCUCUGUCACACACACACACACACACACACACACACACACACACACAACUUAAGCCUCACAACCCUGUGAAAUAGGUAACACAAUCAUACGACAUUAUAACUUGAGAGUACCAAGGCUUAGGGCAGUCACAUAACUAGCCCAAGAUCCUAUUUCCAGUAAGUGAUGGAAUGAACAUUUGAACCCACGCCUGCUCGAUACUAGGGUUUGUGUUCUUAACCACCACCCUGUGUUAGCCCUUAAGAAACUGGCUGGCCUUCCGAUUUCCUUGUGAAAAUGAGAAUCCAUUGAAUUCAUCGUGGUGUGUGUGUGCUGUUGAGGGUCUUUUACCCUCUUGAUGUGAGAAGGAAACUGACAGUACUUCUCUGAUGCCACUUACCUUUAUUCCCUCCUGACAUCGGCCUCCCCCCGCUUUGUUCUCCUCUCUGCUAUUGUGUGGGAUCUGAUGAGAUGCUGCUCUUUUUAUCAUUCCAUUUCUAAAGCGGUUCACCCUGUAGAGUGGACGGGACUCCACGGGCCCUGGAAGGUCUGUGUUGAUAACAGCUCGGGCUGGUGAAAUGCAAAUCCUCAGAGCAUCGGGCACCACCAAGGGCCAAGUCAAUUCUGGCUCACUUUAAUUGGGGCUCCUCACAGGGGGACACCAGUGUGAGUCUCUAAUGUCCUAACACUCGGGCAGCUUCUUUUAUUGUUAACUGCAUGGGACACUCAGCAACGCAGUAUGAAUCUUGACUCAUCAGCUCUUCUAGAAAUCAGUUAAGCUCUCCUCUCAGGCCCCUCCUGGGUUUUAUAAACCCCAGUUAGAGAUGCAGCAGCAAUUCAAGGAUGCUUUGAGCAUCUGGCUGUGGAACUACAGCGCUGGAGCUGGUGGCGAGGCCACUCCAGACUGGGCCGACCCCCAUUUUGGGAACAAAUGCUUCUACGUAAGCAACUGAAUUCUCCUGAAAAUUUUUUAAAAUAGAAAAGGGGGCUGGGGGCUGUGGCUCACGCCUGUAAUCCCAGCACUUUGAAAGGCCGAGGUGGGCAGAUCACUUAAGGUCAGGAGUUCAAGACCAGCCUAGACAACAUGGUGAAACCCCAUCUCUACUAAAAAUACAAAAAUUAGCCGGGUGCUGUGGUGUGUACCUGUAAUCCCAGCUAUUUGGGAGACUGAGGCAGGAGAAUCGCUUGAACCCAGGAGGCAGAGGUUGCAGUGAGCCCAGAUAGUACCACUGCACUCCAGCCUGGGCAACAGAGUGAGACUCUGUCUUAAAAAU